CGCGUAGGCGGCCUGUUAAGUCAGGUGUGAAAGCCCCGGGCUCAACCUGGGAAUUGCAUUUGAUACUGGCGAGCUAGAGUCUGAUAGAGGGGGUGGAAUUCCAGGUGUAGCGGUGAAAUGCGUAGAUAUCUGGAGGAACAUCAGUGGCGAAGGCGGCCCCCUGGAUCGAGACUGACGCUGAGGUGCGAAAGCGUGGGGAGCAAACA
rnacentral:rRNA from 1 species